rnacentral:rRNA from 1 species
CUCAGAGCGAACGCUGGCGGCAGGCCUAACACAUGCAAGUCGAACGAACUCUUCGGAGUUAGUGGCGGACGGGUGAGUAACACGUGGGAACGUGCCUUUAGGUUCGGAAUAACUCAGGGAAACUUGUGCUAAUACCGAAUGUGCCCUUCGGGGGAAAGAUUUAUCGCCUUUAGAGCGGCCCGCGUCUGAUUAGCUAGUUGGUGAGGUAAAGGCUCACCAAGGCGACGAUCAGUAGCUGGUCUGAGAGGAUGAUCAGCCACAUUGGGACUGAGACACGGCCCAAACUCCUACGGGAGGCAGCAGUGGGGAAUCUUGCGCAAUGGGCGAAAGCCUGACGCAGCCAUGCCGCGUGAAUGAUGAAGGUCUUAGGAUUGUAAAAUUCUUUCACCGGGGACGAUAAUGACGGUACCCGGAGAAGAAGCCCCGGCUAACUUCGUGCCAGCAGCCGCGGUAAUACGAAGGGGGCUAGCGUUGCUCGGAAUUACUGGGCGUAAAGGGAGCGUAGGCGGACAUUUAAGUCAGGGGUGAAAUCCCGGGGCUCAACCUCGGAAUUGCCUUUGAUACUGGGUGUCUUGAGUAUGAGAGAGGUGUGUGGAACUCCGAGUGUAGAGGUGAAAUUCGUAGAUAUUCGGAAGAACACCAGUGGCGAAGGCGACACACUGGCUCA